rnacentral:rRNA from 1 species
GAUGAACGCUAGCGGGAGGCCUAACACAUGCAAGCCGAGCGGUAUUUGUUCUUCGGAACAGAGAGAGCGGCGCACGGGUGCGGAACACGUGUGCAACCUGCCUUUAUCUGGGGGAUAGCCUUUCGAAAGGAAGAUUAAUACCCCAUAAUAUAUUGAGUGGCAUCACUUGAUAUUGAAAACUCCGGUGGAUAGAGAUGGGCACGCGCAAGAUUAGAUAGUUGGUGAGGUAACGGCUCACCAAGUCAAUGAUCUUUAGGGGGCCUGAGAGGGUGAUCCCCCACACUGGUACUGAGACACGGACCAGACUCCUACGGGAGGCAGCAGUGAGGAAUAUUGGACAAUGGGUUAGCGCCUGAUCCAGCCAUCCCGCGUGAAGGACGACGGCCCUAUGGGUUGUAAACUUCUUUUGUAUAGGGAUAAACCUACUCUCGCGAGAGUAGCUGAAGGUACUAUACGAAUAAGCACCGGCUAACUCCGUG